AUUGAACGCUGGCGGCAUGCCUUACACAUGCAAGUCGAACGGCAGCACGGGUGCUUGCCCCUGGUGGCGAGUGGCGAACGGGUGAGUAAUACAUCGGAACAUGUCCUGUAAUGGGGGAUAGCCCGGCGAAAGCCGGAUUAAUACCGCAUACGAUCCACGGAUGAAAGCGGGGGACCUUCGGGCCUCGCGCUAUAGGGUUGGCCGAUGGCUGAUUAGCUAGUUGGUGGGGUAAAGGCCUACCAAGGCGACGAUCAGUAGCUGGUCUGAGAGGACGACCAGCCACACUGGGACUGAGACACGGCCCAGACUCCUACGGGAGGCAGCAGUGGGGAAUUUUGGACAAUGGGCGAAAGCCUGAUCCAGCAAUGCCGCGUGUGUGAAGAAGGCCUUCGGGUUGUAAAGCACUUUUGUCCGGAAAGAAAUCCUUGGCUCUAAUACAGUCGGGGGAUGACGGUACCGGAAGAAUAAGCACCGGCUAACUACGUG
rnacentral:rRNA from 1 species